GCCGGGCAGGUGUGGAGGGAAAAGCAGGCUGGGAAAUCAAGAAAAACACAAAAGGCAAUAGCUGCUCUGAGCUGAGGACAAAUCAGGAAUAAACUUAAAUACACAAAGAGUCCAGCCAUUGAACAAACAGUCUCAGGAUAAGAACGUCUACUAAAUGUCCUGAAUGGAAAAACAGACGACGUGAGGAAUGAACCGCCUGCUGUAUAAAUCGCUGCAUAUCUGAUGUCGAACUAGGACUGACGGAGACUUGGCUCUCUUUGGGUGCUUUAACUCUUCCCUCACACAUACAAACAGCUCUGCUGAUGGGCUGAAAAACUGAUUCUCAAAGACUGGAAGACACCAAAACCUACGUGCUUCAGAAACUGGCUGCAUGAACGAUGUUUUGGUUGUCCACUUAAAAUCUCAUCAUAAAUGGAAAGAAUCUUGGACUCCUUUUCCUGAAUAUUUGGUCUCAAUUUGACCGUAUUUGUAUUCAUAUAUAGAUUGAGGCUUUUGUAACAAUCACAUGUAGAUGAUAUGUACUGUUAUCAUGUUUUGUGUCCUUGAUAGAUGGUUAAGAAGAACUGCUCUCAGUUACUUCUGAUGUGUGUGUGUGUGUGUGUUUCAGUUGUGGACAUUGACGUUUGUGUGGUUUAUAUGAAAAAUCUGUCAAUGAAAAUAAUGCUAAAAAAAAAAAGACGACUCAUGGAUAAUGAAGAUAAUGGAGAGUGGAAAGUAACACACAGUAUUUACAAGGAUCAUCCCCUGAAACAACACAACACAGUAAUGGUUUUAUAACAGGAUCCAGCGUGCGACUUACAAAAGUACAAGUAAACAUUCUCCAAACAUCUCCAGAACAAAAGCGGACAACAUCUCCUUCCUGCGGACACCUACAUGCUUAUUGUUGACGACGACCUCACCCACAACAAUCACUAUCAUCAUAACUUCCACUGAAGAGCGGUGAGCUGUUUUCUUCCAAACUCACAGUCGUCGCUUUGGUAUACGCACAUCAGAAGAAACCAGUUUGAGUCAAGACCACAGUUUAUGCCAGUAAGCGCAAAAAUAAAAACAAAAAUUAAAGGGAAAAUGGGAAGUUUUGACAUGA